GGGGGUGUUCCGGUUUCGACAGGCUGGAACGACUUUUGAGGGCAGUGGAUUGGUCUCCUUAUCGACCGACACAAUUACAAGUGCCAAUAAACCAGUUAUGUUCCGUGCUCCAGCCAUGAUGGCUGCCUGCGCUGCCUAAUAAUAGGUUAACGCUAUUUUUCUGAGACUAUAGGUCUCUUUGCACGAGUCAGAUGUGAGCUCGCAAGUUCAUAGCACCUGACUUAAAAGAAUUUGCUUCAUAAUCUUGUUUCCUUUCCGAGAUUAUGCGACACAAGGAAGGAUCGGCUGUAGCGAUCUUCGUUCAUGUCAUGCUAUAGCUCAGAAUAGACGUGAAAGAAACUGUGGUUCCUUAUUAGAGAUUCCUGUUUGGACGCGGGUUCAACUCCCGUCACCUCCACCA
rnacentral:tmRNA from 1 species